CUGUUAGGUUUAGCUGGUCUUGAUAGAGUUUCGUAUCU
rnacentral:sRNA from 1 species